AUGGGGAAGUGCUGGGAUUUAUUUCUCACUCUCUCAGCUGAGCUGUGCGACUGCAACAUCAAUAACUCCGUCAGACACGAAGAAUUUCCUCUUUUUGCUCCUGUUUUUAAACCAGGAAUCUUUUUACCCCCCCUCAGCUUCAGGGAAUUUGGGCAUAUCAGGGGACACGUUUUUGUCCCACCUGAUGCAGCUCUCACCGAAAGUCUGUGGACCAAGUUUCCCAUUCCUCGGAGGCAGCUCCCAGGACAAGGCAGAGCCGAGCAGCAGGAGCCAGGAGGAGCUGGAAGAGGAGUGGACACAUCGAGAGAGACUGAAGUGACUGGUGAGAACCUCCUGAGGAAAUCCAGCAAGGCCAAUUUGGGUUCUUCUCCUGUGCCUGGUGAGAACCUCCUGAGGAAAUCCAGCAAUUUGGGUUCUUCUCCUGUGCCUGGUGAGAACUUCCUGAGGAAAUCCAAAAAUGUCAGUUUGGGUUCUUCUCCUGUGCCUGGUGAGAACUUCCUGAGGAAAUCCACAAAUGUCAAUUUGGGUUCUUCUCCUGUGCCUGGUGAGAACUUCCUGAGGAAAUCCAGCAAGGCCAAUUUGGGUUCUUCUUCUGUGCCUCAGCUCCAAUCCCAGCCAGGCUCCCACUCCAAACCUGUCCUGCCUCCAAUCCCACCUGGACAGAAAAGCACCGACCCCUGAUGGUCACUUCCAUCCCAAUUUUUGUCACGCUGACACUUUCUAACCCCGCUUUUCAUCUCUUUCUCUUCAAAAAAGUAAAAUCUAUCAAAUAUUAUUGCUGAAUCCAUUUCUGAUUAACUCUCAAAAAAAAAAGAGAAAGAAGAAAAAAAAAGAGUUAUUUAUUUAUAACUUUAUUAAAAAGUAAUUUCUGUAUUUCCCAAAGCUAGAAAUUAUUUCCCUGGGCACUCACAGCUGGGAAAUGGUGGAGAGUUUUUUUUUCCUACCACGGAAUUGUAUCUUCCAUUAAUUUUAUAGAUUUAAUUGAGGUGUGGAAGCACCAGGGCUUCUGAUAAUAUUAUCUGUAUUGUAGGGCUGGUGAAUUAUUUAGAAGAGGGAUUUUGUGAAACGUUCAGAGGGAAACUGGGAGCAAAAACCAGUUCAGAGUUGGAUUCUUUUUUAAAAUAAAAUGUGGUUGAGUCACA
rnacentral:lncRNA from 1 species